rnacentral:rRNA from 1 species
AGGAUUCCCCUAGUAACUGCGAGUGAAGCGGGAAAAGCUCAAAUUUAAAAUCUGGUAGUCUUUGGCUGCCCGAGUUGUAAUCUAGAGAAGCAUUAUCCGCGCUGGACCGUGUACAAGUGUCCUGGAAUGGACUAUCAUAGAGGGUGAGAAUCCCGUCUUUGACACGGACUCCCAGGGCUUUGUGAUGUGCUCUCAAAGAGUCGAGUUGUUUGGGAAUGCAGCUCUAAAUGGGUGGUAAAUUCCAUCUAAAGCUAAAUAUUGGCGAGAGACCGAUAGCGAACAAGUACCGUGAGGGAAAGAUGAAAAGAACUUUGGAAAGAGAGUUAAACAGUACGUGAAAUUGCUGAAAGGGAAACGCUUGAAGUCAGUCGCGUUGGCUGGGGAUCAACCUUGCUUUAUUGCUUGGCUUACUUCCCAGUUGACGGGUCAGCAUCAGUUUYGACCGGUGGAUAAAGGCUAGGGGAAUGUGGCACCUUCGGGUGUGUUAUAGCCCUUGGUCAU